rnacentral:lncRNA from 1 species
AUUGAGUUGUCAUUUAUUGGAUAAACAUCGUAAGAUAUUUUUAUUAUAUGGCAUCCCAAGAGACUACAUUGAUUUAUAUUUGUAGUUUUUAUAUGUAGACUACAUAUGAAUGAAUUAAUAAUACACGAUGAAUUACUUCAUAAUGUAGUAAUUCAUUGGGAGUGAAUUUUGAAACAACACCAUUAGGUAAUGCUGCCAUAGAGUCAAUAAGUUGUAAUUUAUUCAAUAAACAAGCUAUAUUUGGGUGACUUGGAUGUAAUUACUAAAUCUAUCAGGUGCAGCUUGAGAAGCAGAAAAAUAUGGAUAACGAGAAGUAUCAGACGUUACUCCGUGGAAGCAUCCUUAAACUUUUACGCUUGUAAAAAGAUCAUCAAGGAUGCGAUGAGAUAGAGGAAGAAGUUGGGGAGGUGCUAACGCAUACCCUUAAUCAACUAGGUGGAGUUAACUAAGUCGUAGAUGUUAAGUUGCUACCUGUAAAGUUUAUUCUUAGAUACAUCUAAGCAAAACUUACAGCUGAUGCUCAAAAUAAAAAUGUGUUGCAGCGACAUUUCAAAGAAAAUUCUGACAGUACGGGCUAGCAUGUGUUAUGUUAUAUAAUCAGAUAAAGAAGUUUUUUUUUUUAAUUGUUAAGUAAAUAAAUGAUUAAAUGUUCUUAAAUAAUUAAAAAAUAAUUAUUUAAAAUUUCAAAGCAUUAUUCCAAUGUUAGUUAACAGCAUAAUUAAACUUACAAUUUAAAG